rnacentral:rRNA from 1 species
CCUACGGGUGGCUGCAGUGAGGAAUAUUGGUCAAUGGCCGAGAGGCUGAACCAGCCAAGUCGCGUGAGGGAUGACGGCCCUACGGGUUGUAAACCUCUUUUGUCGGGGAGCAAAGCGAACCACGUGUGGUUCAUUGAGAGUACCCGAAGAAAAAGCAUCGGCUAACUCCGUGCCAGCAGCCGCGGUAAUACGGAGGAUGGGAGCGUUAUCCGGAUUUAUUGGGUUUAAAGGGUGCGCAGGCGGAGGUGCAAGUCAGCGGUCAAAGUGCGGGGCUCAAACCCGUACUGCCGUUGAAACUGCAUCCCUUGAGUGCGCGAGAAGUAUGCGGAAUGCGUGGUGUAGCGGUGAAAUGCUUAGAUAUCACGAAGAACUCCGAUUGCGAAGGCAGCCUACUAAACUGCCACUGACAUUGAUGCUCGAAAGCGUGGGUAUCGAACAGGAUUAGAUACCCGGGUAGUC